AUUCUCAAGUUGAAGAAGGUGCCAAGGUGGAGCUACCAUUCUGGCUUGCUCAGGAGUUAUAUUUGAGGCAAGCUGUAUCAAUAAAUGUUCCGGCUUGUUUCAACCAAAAUUAACUGCCAUAGUAGUUUCUAGUGUUAUUCUUGUUUCUGUGUAAAGGUAGUAAUACUAAGGAAUUCAUUAAAAACUGACUUGAAAGAAGAAUUGUUUUUUUUUUUUUUUUUAUGUGUGAAUGAUGUAGAAUGGGUGGAGAAACUUUUUGGUAGUGGCCUAUGGUCAUCAACGAGCAACCAGCUUUUGUGUUAUAUUAUGUUCUGAUACACGAUUUUUCCGCGUAUAAUAUUUCUUGGUCUUGCUUUCAUAUGUGGGUUAUUUGCAUUUACCAGUCCAGCUAGGUCAUAUUAUUUUGUCAGUCUUCAAAAAUUUGAUGUUGUUCUUAUUGUAUUUCUUUGAUCCCUCCUAACCCUUAGUGGCCAAACCUCCUCAGGAAUUAGGUGGUUUUAACCAAGUUCUAUGGUCGUGAUUUCUUGCAAAGUUGUCCUAUGUUCAAAUGAAUCCAUGAAGAAUGACGUAUUUAUUUAUGUGGUGAAUGUGAAUCUGAAGAUGUAAAUAUUUAUUUACUAGUCUAUUCUUCUUUGUUUCAUUUGAAUACCAAAACAAGGAGGGAAAUCCAAGCUGAUGCUGCAAAUGUGGAUCUGAGAUCUCGGUGUCCAUAUUUCUCCGAAUUUGGCUGUAAGAUAGCACCAUUGUGAGUUUAUGCUUCUAAAAAAUUUCUAUGCAUGCAUAUUUCAAUGCAGAUAAUAAGUCUUUCUGUGCCUUCUGUAAGUUUAUGCUUCUUGUCCCUUAAAUAGUAAAUUGCUAUCAUUAUAUUUGUUGUUUUCAUAAUGUCAUUAUGUGGCACGUUGUCAAUUUGGAAGAGAAAGCAAUGCCCUGAUAAUUUGAUGUUAUUACAAAUUUUCAUUGUUAUGUUUCACUGCUUUUUCACAAGAAAGUUGAUCUAUUUGAUGUAACCUCAAGUGUUUUCCUAGAUUCUGCAUCUUAUUCAAACUGAGAAGCAAAUUGAAAGUUUAGAGCUAAACCUGCAUUUUCUUGUUUAGGGAUGGAAUGAAGGAUGUGAUCAGUUCCUUGUCUCAGAAUAUCUCUCUAUGUUAGAGAUAAGUUUCGUUGGAAAGUUAAUAUUGAAAACAUUCGAAUGAAAAGAGAAAUGAAGAGGAUCACCUCUUCAUGUAUUAUCCUAAAUGUUGGGAAGCUUAUAUCACGUGUGUGAGCCUUGUACUGUGGUGAUGGAUACUUCUUUGUUCCUUAUCUCUAACAUAAAUAAUGCUUCUUGGUUACAUCUAAGUCAGGAAGAGCACACUUCAUAUAAAAGUCAGACAACAGUAUCCAAGGUGAAAUCCCUCCAGGAUUUGGCCGUCUGUUCAGGUUGGAAUUUUUAAAUCUUUCUUCUAACUCCCUGGUGGGGAAAUUCCGGCUAACUUGUCCCAUUUCUCCAGCCGGGAAAUCUUACAUUUAGGAUUUAACAAGCUAGUAGGAAAAUUCCUCCUAAAUAUGUCUCCUUGUUGAACCUGAAAAGUAUAAGCCUACGUGGAAACAAUUUAACAGGAGGGGUCCCACUUUUUCUCGCGAAUCUUAGCUCCCUGUAAACUUUAUCUUUAGCUCACAAUGCUUUAAGAGGAACUAUUCCAGAUUCAAUGGAUCAAUUGACGAGGUUAACAUUUCUGUGACUUGGCACUAACAAUCUCUCAGGUUCAAUCCCUCCUUUCAUAUACAAUCUACAUAACAUUAAAUUAAAUUAAUAUUGUCUAAAAACUCUUGGGACGAUGGUUCUGAUUUUUUUUAGUUUACAUUUCUUCUUGCUGCUUAGGAAUAGGGAGUUCCAGGUUGGAAUUGGAUCUAAUUCUCACUUAGAGCUUAGAUCUUGGGUUGGAUGUUUCACUCAAUGUGUUUAUAUUCUUGCAAUUGCCAUAGUAGUUUCUGGUGUUAUUCUUGUUUCUGUGUAAAGGUAGUAAUACUAAGGAAUUCAUUAAAAACCGACUUGCAAGCAGAAUUUGUUUUUUGCUUUAUGUGUGAAUGAUGUAGAAUGGGUGGAGAAACUUUUUGGCAGGAAGUGGCCUUUGGUCAUCAAAGAGCAAUCAGCUUCAUGGCCGAGAGUAUAGCAUUGAGAAAUAUCUGUCACAGAAAUCUUGUUAGAGUCAUAACUUCUUGUUCAAGUAAUGAUUACCAAAAUGACUUCAGAGCUAUAGUUUAUGAACACAUGCCAAAUGGGAGUCUUCAAGAAUGGUUGCACCCAGCUCCAAAUAAAGAAGAAAAGCAACAUGAAAUUCAAAAUCUUACCCUUCUGCAAAGAAUAAACAUGGCACUUGAUGCGGCAUCUGCACUAAAUUAUCUCCAUCACCACUGCCAAGAGCCAGUCAUCCAUUGCUACUUAGAGCCAAGCAAUAUUCUUCUAGACAACAACAUGACCGCUCAUGUUGGGGAUUUCGGGCUAGCAAGGUUUCUUCAAGAAGUGUCAAAUCCAAAUCACAGCAGCUCUUCUGGAGUAAGAGGAACAAUUGGUUGUGCAGCCGCAGGGACCGCAAGACUUUUGAUCUUCUGUUACAUUAAUAUUAACUCAUGCCUACUACAAAAUUUGAACAGGUAAUUUACUUUUCAAAAGAUUAUAUACUUUCUAUUGUUAUUCUUGUUGGGUUUCAGGGUAUGGUCUUGGAAGUAAGGUGUCAACAAAUGGGAAUGUCUCCAGUUUUGGGAUCCUGUUGUUAAAGAUGGUAACAUGGAAAAAACCUACAGACCUUAUGUUUGAGGGAGGCGUUAAUGUUCAUAACUUUUGCUUGACCGUUUGAUGGGCAUUGUGGAUCCAAUUUUUCUAAAAGAUGAUAAAGAGUUGUCUUUCUACAAACCGUAGCAAGAGAGAAACAAAUAUCAACAGCAGAAAAGAAUGUCUUAAUUUUAUGGUAAGGAUUGGAGUGGCAUGUUCGAUGGAGUCACCACAAGACUGGAUGAACAUAACGGAUGUUGUCCAUGACUUGCUAUCAGCCAGGAACAUCCUUCUGGAACCUAAGGCAAGGAGGGCUAUUAAGAAAAUAUAAUCUUGAAGCGAAAGCAGGGUGAAAGAGCAGAGAACCGGUAAAAAAAAAAAAAAAAAAAAAAAAGUUU